UUCUUUCUCCUUAGCUAAUCCUGCGUUGUGUUGGUCGCUCAAAAGCAUUCUUCAGGGAAGGUGUUUGGAGAUAGAAUGUAAAUUUGUCGCUGUAAACUGCAUAUGGGACUGUGAUGGAGAGUCAGAAUUCACAAAUUCUGGGAGUUCUCCAGGCGUUAACUAGAAAAUUUAGAGAAUACUGAAAAGCAUGGAGAAGAUAAUCAUCACCUGUAAUAUACAAACAGAAAAAAGUACUAAACA